UCUAUACAAAAACUGUGGACACAUAAGUUUUUAUACUUAUAAUGCAUCCACAGUUCGUAGCGUCCGUGUGCGACGGCAACGAGUUUGUAUUCAGAGGUCAAACAUCUACGAGCUCAAAUACAUCACCUUCAGAAGUGAGGCCGGUUAAUGAGAGCCCUCCGCGGACAACGUAACGGCAUGUUUCCUUAUGGAGCAUUUGAUUUAUCAGCCGGUGUACCUCCGUCGUCGGGAAGGGACAAAAUGGAUUUUCUCAACCCUCGUCGAUCACUCCAAGGAACGGAAAAGAGUGGACCAUUUACCGGGCCACUCCUUCAUCAGGAAUAUAUAGACUGAAGCCGCCGGAACGCCGUCGCAUUCGAGUCACGUGCUAGGGAAGGACUCAUUUUAACUACGGUAAAGGCAGUAAUUGAAAGGAAGACCAUCGGCUUUCCACGUCUCUCCCCUGCCCACAUGAAGAAACGAGCUUGGCCCGAUCACUUCCUUACUUAUUCAGAAGAAGCGGUUUCAUUGAUUUUGAUUGCCCCGCAAUCAAUCACAAUGCCCAACAACUAUUCCCGCGGCUGUGUAUUGUUGAUUGAAAAAAAUAAAACGCUCGAACGUGGCAAACAUUAAAACCGUUUUUCAAUUUUAGCGGUUUGUAAACCGAGCGCUUACUGCGAGCAAGAAGCGAAAGAUAAUAUCAUCGCUUUUUGAUAAAAUAUGAUUAAAAAGCAGUUUGCACAUAAAUAUUUUAUUGAUCAUUUAUGUAACUAUAGCUGCAAUGCAAUACUGUCAACAGCUCUUAUAUACCAAAGAUGAAAUUUUUGCGCAGCAUUCUUGCAAAAUUUCGGAUUCUAUUCACAUAGCAGAAAAAUUUUUCUCGCAUUUCUCUCUCAGUUUUCUCGAUAAAAUUCUAUUGUGUAAAUAUUUUUCGCAAUAAAAAAAUUUGAUAACAGCACGCUACUUCAACCAAUCCUCUUUAUUGUUUCUCAUUUUGAAUUGUUGCGCAUAGGUGUGCGCUUUCAUACGCGCACAGUAACAGAUCCGAAAAAUUAUUUUAACACACGGUUAAUUGUACCGCAAGAGAGAAUGUAGAAAAAGAGUAUAUUAUAUUUUGAAGAGUAAAGUAGAGCUCUCAGCUCCUGCGCGUUUUCCACAUUUUCGUUUCAUUACACGAAUUUCCAUUAGUGUUUUAUCAAAACGGAAACGUUACUUUUCUCAGUUCACUCUUGUUAUUAAAAUACGUUGAAGAUCUGAAGAAGAGAAAGGUUUAGAAGUAAUAAAAAAGAUUAAAAAAAAGAAAGAGAAAGGGCAAUAACGGUAAAGUAGGAUAUUAUAAGUACGAGGUAAGAAGACAGAUAUAAAAAUAGGUAUAAUUAAUCAGAAGUUGCAAAGAAUAAAAGUUUAAAGCAUGGCAACAGAAUAUGAUAUAGGUAGAGUGAAGUGAAUAUUACA